UACGUAGGCAGCGAGCGUUGUUCGGAAUUACUGGGCGUAAAGAGUGUGUAGGCGGUGCUCUAAGUUCGGUGUGAAAUCUCCUGGCUCAACUGGGAGGGUGCGCCGGAAACUGGAGUGCUUGAGCGUGGGAGAGGAAAGCGGAAUUCCCAGUGUAGCGGUGAAAUGCGUAGAUAUUGGGAGGAACACCAGUGGCGAAGGCGGCUCGCUGGACCGGUUCUGACGCUGAGGCGCGAAAGCGUGGGUAGCAAACAGG
rnacentral:rRNA from 1 species